UGGGGAAUUUUGGACGAAUUGGGCGAAAGCCUGAUCCAGCAAUGCCGCGUGUGUGAAGAAGGCCUUCGGGUUGUAAAGCACUUUUGUCCGGAAAGAAAUCCUUGGCUCUAAUACAGUCGGGGGAUGACGGUACCGGAAGAAUAAGCACCGGCUAACUACGUGCCAGCAGCCGCGGUAAUACGUAGGGUGCAAGCGUUAAUCGGAAUUACUGGGCGUAAAGCGUGCGCAGGCGGUUUGCUAAGACCGAUGUGAAAUCCCCGGGCUCAACCUGGGAACUGCAUUGGUGANUGGCAGGCUAGAGUAUGGCAGAGGGGGGUGAGAAUUCCACGUGUAGCAGUGAAAUGCGUAGAGAUGUGGAGGAAUACCGAUGGCGAAGGCAGCCCCCUGGCAAGUACUGACGCUCAUGCACGAAAGCGUGGGGAGC
rnacentral:rRNA from 1 species